rnacentral:rRNA from 1 species
AUGUAUGGGCCAAAAUGUAUAUAUUAUAUUGACCGGAUUUUCUUCAAGUGUAUAUUGAUUGAUGGAAUUGUGAAGACCAAUAAAAGUUCAAAUAUAUACAUGAGUAGCAAAACAAAUCUUCGCUGUCUCGAGAAAAUGAGCACAAAAGAGAAUUGGUUAUCCAACAUAAUGGGUAUUAUUAGAGGAGUAAAAGAGGGAACAAAUAGUCUUGAAAAGCUAUGGGUCGUAGCUUACAUGCAUGAAAUAGACCUACUAAAACCAACAACUCCGCAGACUUAUAUAAUCCUUGUGAAUUUAUAA